GAUGAACGCUGGCGGCGUGCCUAAUACAUGCAAGUCGAGCGAACAGAUGAGGAGCUUGCUCCUCUGACGUUAGCGGCGGACGGGUGAGUAACACGUGGAUAACCUACCUAUAAGACUGGGAUAACUUCGGGAAACCGGAGCUAAUACCGGAUAAUAUAUUGAACCGCAUGGUUCAAUAGUGAAAGACGGUUUUGCUGUCACUUAUAGAUGGAUCCGCGCCGCAUUAGCUAGUUGGUAAGGUAACGGCUUACCAAGGCGACGAUGCGUAGCCGACCUGAGAGGGUGAGCGGCCACACUGGAACUGAGACACGGUCCAGACUCCUACGGGAGGCAGAAGUAGGGAAUCUUCCGCAAUGGGCGAAAGCCUGACGGAGCAACGCCGCGUGAGUGAUGAAGGUCUUCGGAUCGUAAAACUCUGUUAUUAGGGAAGAACAAAUGUGUAAGUAACUAUGCACGUCUUGACGGUACCUAAUCAGAAAGCCACGGCUAACUACGUG
rnacentral:rRNA from 1 species